rnacentral:rRNA from 1 species
AUUGAACGCUGGCGGCAUGCCUUACACAUGCAAGUCGAACGGCAGCACGGGAGCAAUCCUGGUGGCGAGUGGCGAACGGGUGAGUAAUAUAUCGGAACGUGCCCAGUAGUGGGGGAUAACUGCUCGAAAGAGCAGCUAAUACCGCAUACGACCUGAGGGUGAAAGGGGGGGAUCGCAAGACCUCUUGUUAUUGGAGCGGCCGAUGGCUGAUUAGCUAGUUGGUAGGGUAAAGGCCUACCAAGGCAACGAUCAGUAGCGGGUCUUAGAGGACGAUCCGCCACACUGGAACUGAGACACGGUCCAGACUCCUACGGGAGGCAGCAGUGGGGAAUCUUGGACAAUGGGCGCAAGCCUGAUCCAGCAAUGCCGCGUGCGUGAAGAAGGCCUUCGGGUUGUAAAGCGCUUUUGUCAGGGAGCAAAUCCUUGUGGCUAAUACCCACCGGGGAUGAGAGUACCUGAAGAAUAAGGACCGGCUAACUACGUGCCAGCCGCCGCGGUAAAAC